rnacentral:lncRNA from 1 species
GUCCCAAUUUUUUUUAAAAAGUUCAAACGAAUCACAUAUAAUUUAUUGAAAAAUUAGAAAAAAAAAAUUUGUCUUUCUUCUUCAUCUUCUCUUCUUCCCCUCCGUGUGGCUCGAGCUUCACUAAAUCUUGUACCUAUAGCCCCAAUCCUCAGCCAACUACUAUUCCUGCACCACAUCCAACCUACCCCCACAGUCACGCAGGGCCGGCCCUAGGCCCAAGCCACCUAACGUCUCAAAAAGGGUGAUUUAUAUUAAAUAUUUACACAAAUCCUAAUGAUGCACUGCCAGGAAGAAAAUUGAAGGGUUUCAUUUCUUGAAUUCAACUUCUCCAAUCUCCUUUUCAAGGUUUCAAUUCGACUUCCACGGUGUUCGCUUUCUCCAAUUCAAAAUUCUCCAAUCUCCUCUCCAGCCCAUCUGAUCUUGACAUCUCGAACUGGAGAAGAUGUCUUCUGAUCUGUGUUCUGUGGAAUCCAUCAGCACAUUUAAUUAUUGUCCUGUGGUGGUUGGGUUGGAGGUGGUGCAGGAGUACUAGUUGGCUAAGAAAUUGUAUGAUGGCAAUUUUUUUAAUAUGC